AUCGAUGAAGAACGCAGCGAAAUGCGAUAAGUAAUGCGAAUUGCAGAAUUCAGUGAAUCAUCGAGUCUUUGAACGCACAUUGCGCCCGCCAGUAUCCUGGCGGGCAUGCCUGUUCGAGCGUCAUUUCCACCCUCAGGCCCUGCCUGGUGUUGGGGGCCUGCGCACUGCAGCCCCCGAAAUACAGCGGCGGUCCCGGCCCCGGCCCCGAGCGUAGUACUUUACGUCGCUUCGGGUGCCGGGCGGGCUCCGGCCGCAAGCCUCUAUUAUACAAGGUUGACCUCGGAUCAGGUAGGAAUACCCGCUGAACUUAAGCAUAUCAAUAAGCGGAGGAAAAGAAACCAACAGGGAUUGCCUCAGUAACGGCGAGUGAAGCGGCAACAGCUCAAAUUUGAAAUCUGGCCCCAGGCCCGAGUUGUAAUUUGCAGAGGAUGCUUCUGGCGCGGUGCCUUCCAAGUCCCCUGGAACGGGGCGCCAUGGAGGGUGAGAGCCCCGUACGGUUGGACACCAAGCCUUUGUGAAGCUCCUUCGACGAGUCGAGUAGUUUGGGAAUGCUGCUCUAAAUGGGAGGUAGACCCCUUCUAAAGCUAAAUACCGGCUGGAGACCGAUAGCGCACAAGUAGAGUGAUCGAAAGAUGAAAAGAACUUUGAAAAGAGGGUUAAACAGCACGUGAAAUUGUUAAAAGGGAAGCGCUUGUGACCAGACUUGUACUGGGGCGAUCAUCCGGCGUUCUCGCCGGUGCACUCGCCCCGGUCCAGGCCAGCGUCGGUUCGGGAGGGGGGACAAGGACGUCGGGGACGUGGCUCCCUCGGGAGUGUUACAGCCCGGCGUGUCAUGCCCCCACCCGGACCGAGGUUCGCGCUCUGCAAGGACGCUGGCGUAAUGGUCACCAGCGGCCCGUCUUGAAACACGG
rnacentral:rRNA from 1 species